rnacentral:lncRNA from 1 species
CUACUACUGAUAACACUAAUGUUACUCUUCCAGUCACAACCAUGUCUUACAUAACAACUACUGCUGAAGUUUCAACUAGUACUACUGUCCCUAAUGCCACUGUAUCUUCCCCUAUAAAUACUACUGCUGAUAGCACUAAUGUUACUCUUCCAGUCACAACCAUGGCUUAUACAACAAGUACUGCUGAAGUUUCAACUACUACUACUUUCCUUAAUGCCACUAUAUCUUCUCCUAUUUAUACUACUCUGGAUAGCACUAAUGUUACUCUUCAUAUCACGGACACCCCAUACACAACAAGUGCUACUCAAGUUUCAACUAGUACUACUGUCCCUAAUGCCACUAUAUCUUCCCCUAUUAAUACUACGACCGAUAGCACUAUUCUUACUCUUUCUGUCACAACCAUGCUUUACCCAACAAGUGCUACUGAAGUUUCAACUAGUACUACUUUCCCUAAUGCCACUAUAUCUUCCCCUAUAAAUACUACUACUGAUACCACUGAUAUUACUCUUCCUAUCACAGACACCCCAUACACAACAAGUGCUACUCAAGUUUCAACUAGUACUACUGUCCCUAAUGCCACUAUAUCUUCCCCUAUAAAUACUACUACUGAUGGCACUAAUGUUACUCUUCCAGUCACAGACAUGCUAUACACAACAAGUGCUUCUCAAGUUUCAACAAGUACUACUGUCCCUGAUGCCACUAUAUCUUCCCCUAUAAAUACUACUACUGAUACCACUGAUAUUACUCUUCCUAUCACGGACACGCCAUACACAACAACUGCUUCUCAAGUUUCAACAAGUACUACUGUCCCUAAUGCCACUAUAUCUUCCCCUAUAAAUACUACUACUGAUACCACUGAUAUUACUCUUCCUAUCACGGACACGCCAUACACAACAACUGCUUCUCAAGUUUCAACAAGUACUACUGUCCCUAAUGCCACUAUAUCUUCCCCUAUAAAUACUACUACUGGUACCACUGAUAUUACUUUUCCUAUCACAGACACGCCAUACACAACAACUGCUUCUCAAGUUUCAACAAGUACUACUGUCCCUAAUGCCACUAUAUCUUCCCCUAUAAAUACUACUACUGAUACCACUGAUAUUACUCUUCCUAUCACGGACACGCCAUCCACAACAACUGCUUCUCAAGUUUCAACAAGUACUACUGUCCAUAAUGCCACUAUAUCUUCCCCUAUAAAUACUACUACUGAUACCACUGAUAUUACUCUUCCUAUCACGGACACGCCAUCCACAACAACUGCUUCUCAAGUUUCAACAAGUACUACUGUCCCUAAUGCCACUAUAUCUUCCCCUAUAAAUACUACUACUGGUACCACUGAUAUUACUUUUCCUAUCACGGACACACCAUACACAACAACUGCUUCUCAAGUUUCAACAAGUACUACUGUCCCUAAUGCCACUAUAUCUUCCCCUAUAAAUACUACUACUGAUACCACUGAUAUUACUCUUCCUAUCACAGACACGCCAUCCACAACAAGUGCUACUCAAGUUUCAACGAGUACUACUGUCCCUAAUGCCACUAUAUCUUCCCCUAUAAAUACUACUACUGAUAGCACUAAUGUUACUCUUCCAGUCACAACCAUGCCUUAUACAACAAGUACUGCUGAAGUUUCAACUACUACUACUUUCCCUAAUGCCACUAUAUCUUCCCCUAUAAAUGCUUCUAUGGAUAGCACUGAUAUCACUCUUCCUAUCACAGACACGCCAUACACAAGUGCUACUCAAGUUUCAGCUAGUACUACCGCCUCUAAUAAUACCACUAUAUCUUCCACUAUAAAUACUACUAUUGAUAGCACUAAUGUUACUCUUCCGGUCACAACCAUGCCUUUCCCAAAAAGUAGUACUGAAGUUUCAACUAGUACUGCUGUCUCUAAUACUACUGUAUCUUCCCCUACAAACAGUACUGUCUAGCACUAAUAGUUUUCUUCCUGUCACAAUCAUGCCUUUCCCAGCAAGUGCUAUUGAAGUUAUUAACACUAAUGUUCCUAAUUCUACUGUGCCUUUCCCUGCAAAUACUACUACUGCUAGAACUAGUGCUACUCUUCCUAUCACAGCUACUUCUUUCCCACAAGUACUACUGAUACUAGCACUGGUACUACUCUCUUAUUACCACUACUCAUUCUUCAACAAAUACUACUGCUACUAGCACUAAUAACACUCACCC